rnacentral:misc_RNA from 1 species
GGAGAUAGUUCAGUCAUAUAUACCAAGAAAAAGCCAGCGGUUGCGAAUAAUAAGCUGCACUUCUCAACUGGACCUUCAAAGUCCAACAAGGAUACUGACUCCAAUGUAGAUUCAAAAGCGGCUCGUUUUCAUUUCGAGUCCUCAAAGGAAAUUCAAGUUCAAAAUGAUAGUAGAGCAACAGCUACUUUAGAAACUGAGACUGAGUUCUCUAGAGAUGCCCGGGCCAUUCGAGAAAAAGCUCUGAAGCAGGCAGAGGAGGCUUUAAAGGGAAAAAGCAAGACAGGUGGUGAUGACAAAUUGUAUAAAGGUAUGAAUCAAUAUACUGAUUACAAAGCUGGUUUGAGAAGAGAACAUACGAUUUCUAGUGAGAAAGCUGGUGGAGCGCAUGGUCCUCUCAGGGCUUCUGCUCACAUCAGAGUUUCAGCAAGGUUUGACUAUCAACCAGAUAUCUGUAAGGAC